rnacentral:rRNA from 1 species
ACUGAAUAGAUACCCGGGUAGUCCACGCCGUAAACGAUGGAUACUAGGUGUAGGAGGUAUCGACCCCUUCUGUGCCGGAGUUAAACACAAAUAAGUAUCCCACCUGGGGAGUACGGCCGCAAGGUUGAAACUCAAAGGAAUUGACGGGGGCCCGCACAAGCAGUGGAGUAUGUGGUUUAAUUCGAAAGCAACGCGAAGAACCUUACCAGGGCUUGACAUGCAGGUGAAUAUAUAAGAGAUUAUAUAGUCCUGGUACGCCUGUGCAGGUGGUGCAUGGUUGUCGUCAGCUCGUGUCGUGAGAUGUUGGGUUAAGUCCCGCAACGAGCGCAACCCUCGUUGUUAGUUGUCCAUCAUUAAGUUGGGUCACUCUAACGAGACUGCCGGUGACAAU